GCGGAAAUAGCUCAGCGGUAGAGCGCUGCCUUGCCAAGGCCGAGGUCGAGGGUUCGAAUCCCUUUUUCCGCU
rnacentral:tRNA from 1 species